AUUUAACGCUGGCGGCAGGCCUAACACAUGCAAGUCGAACGAGUGGCGGACGGGUGAGUAAUGUCUGGGAAACUGCCUGAUGGAGGGGGAUAACUACUGGAAACGGUAGCUCAUACCGCAUACCAUCGGAUGUGCCCCGAUGGGAUUAGCUAGUAGGUGGGAUAAAGGCUCACCUAGGCGACGCUCCCUAGCUGGUCUGAGAGGAUUACCAUCCACACUGGAACGUAGACACGGUCCAGACUCAGACGGGAGGCAGCAGUGGGGAAUAUUGCACAAUGGGCGCAAGCCUGAUGCAGCCAUGCCGCGUGUAUGAAGAAGGCCUUCGGGUUGUAAAGUACUUUCAGCGGGGAUGCGUUACCUGCAGAAGAAGCACCGGCUAACUCCGUGCCAGCAGCCGCGGUAAUUC
rnacentral:rRNA from 1 species